AGACCCUUAAACUAUGUCCAUCCAAUGGUCCAACUUUCUCCAAUGUUGAACAUCAAACGCGUUGAGCAUCCCACUGAUCAAGCCACGUCUUUGCUAAUUGAGGCCUCCCCUAAUCAGGCAACUAAUCUCACAGACGGUUCCAUAAGCGCAACCGCUCCAUCCAUUCCACCCCCUGCCGCCGGCUCGACGUGCUCGGAAGCGCCAGCCUUUUUCCAACUCGCUAUUUGCCUGAUCACCACCGCCCGGAGGUGUUCCCGUCCAGACCCAGACCCAAAUCGGUACCCUCUUCUCUCUCCCAAAGCCGAACCGUGGCGGCAGAAGCGGACGCCAGCGAGCAUUGGCAUGACGUCGGCGAACGACAGAGAUCCUGGUGGCAGGGAACACCUAUUUCCCACCCUCCCGUCGACCAGGCAGAAACCCCCGAGUUCUCCCUCCCCUUGGCGGAGGAAGGCGGCGAGCAUGGCGGCGGUGUUACCGGUGGACGACGGCGAAGAGAUGCUUCCCGUAUUCCCUCCUCCUGCGGAAGGAAGCGAGCAUAGUUGUGGCCUACAGUGGCGAGCAUCGCGGCGGCCAGGACCCGACGGCAACAAUGCGGCAGACCCAAACCCUUUCUCGCUGUGCAACAUGAGCAAGCAAUUGGAGAUACAUUGGGGAGAUUAUUUCUCCCAGGAUACACACUCAGAUGCUAUAUUAUGUGAGAUGUUGAACAAAAACAAGCAUCUGUGUUUGUCCCUGGAAGCGCAUCAAAUGAUAGUGGGGAAACUUGAUGCAUGAGUGUGCACUUGCUGUAUGAGAAUCUAAGGAAGGUGGGAUCAACCAGUUUCUACAACCAACAGGAACUGAGUGUGCAUAAGCUUGUCAUUCUUUCUAGACCACUUCUCAGACCUGUAACUUGUGCCAUUAAAAGCUGAAAAUUAUGUGGUUUAAUAGAUUGUCUUCAUAUGCCACUUUUUUCAGAAAGCUGAUACCCUUGAAAGCUCAAAUUUUACCCAUCAUUCCUUCAUAAUUGCAAUUUUCCAUGCUACCAACACACGGAUCCGAACUGAACGAAUAUGCCAUGGAGAAGGGCAGGCCGCCCGCAGGUGCCGCUGCUGCACGCCACCUCUCCAUGGACACGUCGUUGCUGAUCUGCGACCCCCGGUUUUCCUUAGACACAGAGAGGAGAGCAUGUUGAACCAAGGCUAGCUGCCGCUCCAACACAUACUUCUCCUUGGCCAUGGAGACGGACGAGCAUGUCGAGCAUUGUAUUGGGAACAUCUCAAAUCCUUGAUUGACCAUUAGAAACUAGAGCUAAGUUUGUAUACUUGACAUUUAUUGAUUAUUAUUUUAGCACACGUUAAUGAUACAUGGACUUUGUAAUUCUGUUGUAUUUUUGCAGGUUGUUUAGGGUCACUAUUAUGCACAGGUCUUGUGGACUUCUGUCAUGCCAGUGUGCCUGGAUGAUGCUGGAUUUGCAUUUAGAUGGUGGCCACAUUGUCAAUGGAAACUCGAAGGCUCAAGUGUUAAUCUAUUGCAAUUGCUUUACCAAAGGGGGUUGUACAAGCUAGCAUACUGUACAAUCAGUAUUUUAAAUUUAGGUAGGCCAAACUCCAUUCUCAUUUUUAAGUUCAUCAAAAUAAUGUGAAGACUGCUAUGGGCCAUACAAGAGUAAAUGUUGGGAAAUACAGUUUAACAGAUUUGGGUGACUUGUGCUUUUCUGAGCCAAAGAU